rnacentral:rRNA from 1 species
UACGUAGGUGGCAAGCGUUACUCGGAAUUACUAGGCGUAAAGCGCAGGUAGGUGGCUUGAUAAGUCCGUAAUGAAAUCUCCCGGCUUAACUGGGAGGGGUUUAGGGAUACUGUCAGGCUUGAGUGUGGGAGAGGUAACUGGAAUUCCUGGUGUAGCGGUGAAAUGCGUAGAGAUCAGGAGGAACACCUAUGGCGAAAGCAGGUUACUGGCCCAAUACUGACACUGAGCUGCGAAAGCUAGGGGAGCAAACAGG